CUCGGGGGGGAGGGGUUCCCUUAGCCCGGAUUGUAAGAGGGCACAGGCCAGGCCAAGGGACCCCACCUGUGCAUG
rnacentral:pre_miRNA from 1 species